rnacentral:rRNA from 1 species
UACGUAGGGAGCAAGCGUUGUUCGGAUUUACUGGGCGUAAAGGGCGCGUAGGCGGCAGAUUAAGUCAGCUGUGAAAUCUCCGAGCUUAACUCGGAACUGUCAGCUGAUACUGUUUUGCUAGAGUGCGGAAGGGGCAAUCGGAAUUCUUGGUGUAGCGGUGAAAUGCGUAGAUAUCAAGAGGAACCCCUGAGGUGAAGACGGGUUGCUGGGCCGACACUGACGCUGAGUGCGCGAAAGCCAGGGGAGCAAACGGG